rnacentral:rRNA from 1 species
UUGACCUCAAAUCGGGUGAGACUACCCGCUGAACUUAAGCAUAUCAAUAAGCGGAGGAAAAGAAACUAACAAGGAUUCCCCUAGUAACUGCGAGUGAAGCGGGAAAAGCUCAAAUUUAAAAUCUGGUGGCCUCUGGUCAUCCGAGUUGUAAUUUAGAGAAGCGUCUUCCGCGCUGGACCAUGCACAAGUCUCCUGGAAUGGAGCGUCAUAGAGGGUGAGAAUCCCGUCUUUGGCAUGGAUGCACCAGGGCUUCUGUGAUGCGCUCUCAAAGAGUCGAGUUGUUUGGGAAUGCAGCUCAAAAUGGGUGGUGAACUCCAUCUAAAGCUAAAUAUUGGCGAGAGACCGAUAGCGAACAAGUACCGUGAGGGAAAGAUGAAAAGCACUUUGGAAAGAGAGUGAAACAGUACGUGAAAUUGUUGAAAGGGAAACGCUUGAAGUCAGUCGCGUCGACCGAGACUCAGCCUCGCCUUGGCUUGGUGUACUUCUCGGCUGACGGGUCAGUGUCAAUUUUGGGCCUCGGAUAAUGACAAGGGAAAGGUGGCACCUUUAUAGGUGUGUUAUAGUCUCCUGUCGGAUGCGAGGGUCGGGAUUGAGGAACUCAGCACGCGCCUUUUGGUGUCGGGGCUUCGGCCUACGCUACGUGCUUAGGAUGCUGGCAUAAUGGCUUUAAACGACCCGUCUUGAAACACGGACCAAGGAGUCUAACAUGCCCGCGAGUGUUCGGGUGGAAAACCCGUGCGCGUAAUGAAAGUAAAAGUUGGGACCUCUGUCGUGGAGAGCACCGACGCCCGGACCAGACCUUCUGUGACGGAUCUGCGGUAGAGCGUGCAUGUUGGGACCCGAAAGAUGGUGAACUAUGCCUGAAUAGGGUGAAGCCAGAGGAAACUCUGGUGGAGGCUCGUAGCGAUUCUGACGUGCAAAUCGAUCGUCAAAUUUGGGUAUAGGGGCGAAAGACUAAUCGAACCAUCUAGUAGCUGGUUCCUG